CCUACGGGAGGCAGCAGUGAGGAAUAUUGGUCAAUGGACGAGAGUCUGAACCAGCCAAGUAGCGUGAAGGAUGACUGCCCUAUGGGUUGUACACUUCUUUUAUAAAGGAAUAAAACGAGGCACGUGUGCCUUUUUGCAUGUACUUUAUGAAUAAGGAUCGGCUAACUCCGUGCCAGCAGCCGCGGUAAUACGGAGGAUCCGAGCAUUAUCCGGAUUUAUUGGGUUUACAGGGAGCGUAGAUGGGUUGUUAAGUCAGUUGUGAAAGUUUGCGGAUCAACCGUAAAAUUGCAAUUGAUACUGGCAGUCUUGAGUACAGGUGAGGUAGGCGGAAUUCGUGGUGUAGCGGUGAAAUGCUUAGAUAUCACGAAGAACCCCGAUUGCGAAGGCAGCUUACUAAACUGUGACUGACAUUGAUGCUCGAAAGUGUGGGUAUCAAACAGGAUUAGAUACCCUUGUAGUC
rnacentral:rRNA from 1 species